rnacentral:lncRNA from 1 species
GACUGCCCACUUUUCUUAAAGGGCCAGUAAAUAGGCUCCGACUUUUUUUUUACACCCACCAAACAAGCUUGCCAAUUCAUACAGUAGACCACGGCAAUCACAAUUUCCGAAUAUUACACG